UCAGAAUUUAUUUGUAUAUCACUUCACAAAAUAAAUCGCUCACAACAACUUUACAAAGCUGAUACAUCCAUUAAGAGUUACUAUAUUGAGUAGAACAACAUUCAGUAGUUUCUGAGAAUACAGCGUCUGUGCACAGUUGAAUUGAAUAAUUCUGUUAAAAACCCUAGAGGUGAUCCCUAGAGAACCUCUUCUCAUAAUUUAAAAGAAAGGGAGUUUUUAUUCAGGACUGGAAAGUCAACAUUUAGAGGGAAAACAGCUCCCAGUCCGAGUGGGGCCACUUUUCCCCCGGCUGUCUCAGUUACGCAUGAUUACAGCUUGUUUUAUUCAAUGGCUCUAUAUAUCAAAGGGAUACAGCGCCGGAAGUGACGCAGAUAGGCAGGUCGCCGCAUUUAAGCCGUCUGGUGCGGAUGUACAUUUUAGUUAUAUAAACGAGAGCACAGCAGGACAUUCGCGAUCUAGGGUCACAGCAUUUCAGCUCUGCAGUCAAGUAAUAGCCGGAGGACAUGACCCCUCUAUCACUGAACUUAAAUGAACGAUACGUUAUUGGCCAGUAAAAUAGGUAACGAAUGACAAUAAGUCAUUAGUGGCAAUAAGUAUACUGAUGUUAUGCACAGUGAUUCAUUGUGUCUGGAUCUUGUUUGCAUCAUCCUGCGAUGUUUAUCGGUCACAAGCAGCACCAUGCGACACCACAAGAGGGCAAUAUAUACAUACAGUUUAUAUACAGUUUCAUACCUAAAAUCAGUCCAGGUGAUCUUUGACUAAUUGCGUUGUUAUGCAUUAAAAGUUAACUGAAUAUGCAAAUAUAUCACAUGAUUCCAAUCACUCAUAAUCACUGAGAACAUAAAUGUUCUGAAAUAAAAGAUGUCUAUAGCCAACAUUCAAACUUCUGUACAGUUUGACAAGGUGUGAGAGGGUCAUUCUCAUCAUGCAGUCUUGACUUCCUCCACACUGAAAGAAAGAGGACACAUGCUUCAGUUAUUGCUUAUGGUUUCACUGAAGUGUGUUAGACAGUAAACACAGAUCAAUACAGGGAGACAAAUGCAAACUUCAGAUCUUGUGGUUUUGGGUGAAAACCACCAGGGUCACCUACCUAAAGCACCAGCGUCGAUCA